rnacentral:rRNA from 1 species
UACGGAGGGUCCGAGCGUUAUCCGGAAUUAUUGGGUUUAAAGGGUUCGUAGGCGGCUAAAUAAGUCAGUGGUGAAAUCUCCUAGCUUAACUAGGAAAUGGCCGUUGAAACUGUAUAGCUUGAAUUAUUAGGAAGUAACUAGAAUAUGUAGUGUAGCGGUGAAAUGCUUAGAUAUUACAUGGAAUACCAAUUGCGAAGGCAGGUUACUACUAAUUGAUUGACGCUGAUGAACGAAAGCGUGGGUAGCGAACAGGAUUAGAUACCCUGGUAGUCCACGCCGUAAACGAUGGAUACUAGCUGUUCGGAUUUCGGUCUGAGUGGCUAAGCGAAAGUGAUAAGUAUCCCACCUGGGGAGUACGUUCGCAAGAAUGAA